rnacentral:rRNA from 1 species
AUUGAACGCUGGCGGCAUGCUUUACACAUGCAAGUCGAACGGCAGCGCGGGCUUCGGCCUGGCGGCGAGUGGCGAACGGGUGAGUAAUACAUCGGAACGUGCCCAGUAGUGGGGGAUAGCUCGGCGAAAGCCGGAUUAAUACCGCAUACGACCUGAGGGUGAAAGCGGGGGAUCUUCGGACCUCGCGCUAUUGGAGCGGCCGAUGGCAGAUUAGCUAGUUGGUGGGGUAAAGGCCUACCAAGGCGACGAUCUGUAGCUGGUCUGAGAGGACGACCAGCCACACUGGGACUGAGACACGGCCCAGACUCCUACGGGAGGCAGCAGUGGGGAAUUUUGGACAAUGGGCGAAAGCCUGAUCCAGCAAUGCCGCGUGUGUGAUGAAGGCCUUCGGGUUGUAAAGCACUUUUGGCGGGAACGAAAAGGACUGUGCCAAUACCACGGUUCGAUGACGGUACCCGCAGAAUAAGCACCGUCUAACUACGUG